rnacentral:lncRNA from 1 species
AUCACGUGAUGACGCCAGCUUGUGACGACAUCAUGACGUCACAAAUUCUGGCAUGACGUCAUGUGACCUAACGCCACAUAAUGCCGUUGUAGCGCCCUCCUUUGGGCGGCGAACAAAGCCUGAGAGCGCACGAUCUCAAGAGAAGAAAAUAAAGACGGCGCUUCGCAGUGGCACGUGAAGCCACGGCUUGUCUUCCUUGCUGGCGUCGAUUAUGGUUCAGCCAUGUCGUUCCUUCGCUCCCGUCGCAUAAG